rnacentral:rRNA from 1 species
UUGGAGGGCAAGUCUGGUGCCAGCAGCCGCGGUAAUUCCAGCUCCAAUAGCGUAUAUUAAAGUUGUUGCAGUUAAAAAGCUCGUAGUUGAAUUUCGGGGUUCUACCGUUGGUCGGGCUUUGUCUGUACUGGUGUGUAGAAUUUCUACCUUCUGGGGAACCAUCAUGCUAUUAAUUUAGCGUGGUGGGAAACCAGGACCUUUACCUUGAAAAAAUUAGUGUGUUCAAAGCAGGCUUAUGUCUGAAUACAUUAGCGUGGAAUAAUAGAAUAGGACGGUGGUCCUGUUUUGUUGGUUUCUGAAUCACCGUAAUGAUUAAUAGGGAUAGUUGGGGGCAUUAGUAUUCAAUUGUCAGAGGUGAAAUUCUUGGAUUUAUUGAAGACUAACUUCUGCGAAAGCAUUUGCCAAGGAUGUUUUCAUUAAUCAAGAACGAAAGUUAGGGGAUCGAAGACGAUCAGAUAUCGUCGUAGUCUUAACCAUAAACUAUGCCGACUAGGGAUCGGACGAUGUUAAUUUUUCUUGACUCGUUCGGCGCCUUACGGGAAAC